rnacentral:rRNA from 1 species
AGCGAACGUUUGCGGCGGGCUUAACACAUGCAAGUCGAACGAGAAUCAGUCCUUCGGGGCUGAGGAAAGUGGCGCACGGGUGCGUAACACGUGGGUAAUCAACCCUCUAGAUUGGGACAACCCGGGGAAACUCGGGCUAAUACCAGAUGUCGCAUUUGGGUCUUCGGGCCUGAAUGUAAAAGGAGCAAUCCGCUAGAGGACGAGCCCGCGGCCCAUCAGCUAGUUGGAGGGGUAAUGGCCCACCAAGGCGAAGACGGGUAGCUGUCUGAGAGGAUGAUCAGCCACACUGGAACUGAGACACGGUCCAG